rnacentral:misc_RNA from 1 species
AAACUCCGUCGUUUAAUUCCAAUUAAAAGAAGAACCCAGUCCCUGAUGCCUACCUGUAAUUCCCAAUCUCUUUUCUCAAAUAUCUGCUGCCGUUCCACUAGUUGCAAACUUCUAGCCUGCACCUCGCCGCGCCACCUCCACUUCUCGACGGCGCUCCCGCUGAUCUGCUGCGCUGAAUUGCACUGCACUGCUCUCCAUCGAGCUCUCUCUCGUUGCUUUCUGUUUCUCCGUCGCAAACGGUUGCCCUUCGACCUUAGUGACUGUGUAUUGAAAGAAACAUCCCACCUCUGCCAGAGACUUAUAGCUCUGAAACCCCUACAAAAGGCGCGAAAAGAAGUAGAAGAAGGAGUGCCAUGUUGAGGAAAUUGUUAGCAGAAGGCGCGGUGCGGCAGCCAUUCUGGCGCAUGUUAGCAAGUCGUCGCUCGACCACCAGCAUCUCCAAUGCUGUGGACUCCAUGUUGCUCCGCUCUCUCAAAGAACACUAUCUCGAAGUCUCCAAAAUGAACCCUCCUCCCAAAGUAAGCCCACCAUCAGCCUUUACCAUAGUGAAAGGAGCUCUUGAUGGGAAUGGCCC